GAUUACAAAUUGCCACCCCAAAUUUAAGCCUUCUGUAAAGUAACCCUCCGAGUUAUAUAUUUCACGAACUCAUAUGCAUUUAAAAGCCAAAUCUUGUAUGUAACUAUUUUUGUGAUUUAAGUAUAAAGUGAUAAAGGGUGAAGUUUUUUUUUUUUCAUAAAAUUAUGUUUUGGUAUAGUCAAAAACGUGUCAGAUCAGUUUUGUUUUGAAUAAAUUCAUCAUUUCCUGUCACUGUAUCGUUUUAACUACACGUUUUGACGAUGAUUUCAUCUUGUGUCUAUGUCUGUCAAAGCCGCUAGAGGGCGCUGCUGCUCCAAAAAUGAUGAUACAAACUCAACAACAAAAGUGCUUUAAUUCAGGCUGCUGAGAGGAAAUCUCAUUUUGUGUUGAUCUUGAUUUGAUUUGAUUUCAUUCUGUUUUCUAUGAAUGGUCAAAUGUGUCACUGACUGACUGACUGGCAGACUUAUUGUGGAUAUUUUCUGUAGAAAAUGUAAAACAAGGCUGUUUUUUAACUAUUCUGUCACUCCUCUGGUCAAACCAUAGACUGUAUAUAGAACUUAACUGCUCUGAGUUUCAGGUAUCUCAGUAACUUGGGGUGGAUGCAGGGGAUGACCUUGGACAAGUCAUAGAAAAAUAAUAUCCAGUUUAAUUGUUAUUUCCACCAUUAUUCAAAGCAGUAAGUCAUGACAUGAAUGAAAAAGAUUUUAAAAAAUGAUUUAGCAGCUUUUUACACUCAAAUUGCAAUUUCUUGAAUAACUGGUUUGAUAUAAUUGGUUUUUAACCUUAAAUAAAUGUAAGAGUAAGUUAGUUACUCUUUACUUUCAUUUCUUUGACACUGUAAAUGUGAGAGUGAGAGAAAACAGCACUUACAUAAUUAUCAUCUCUCCCCAAUGUAUUUCAAUGCACCCAGUGGCUGCACCCCAUCUUAAAGUAUAAUACCAUAGCUUAUUUCAGCACACAGUGAUGUAUACACUUUAGUCAAUUAAAACUGUAAAAAGAUUGGGUGAAGAAAAACAACAACAAGACAGAGUCAGAGGAUAAAAUGGGGAUGAAAAUUAGGUCAUAUUUAAGAGGCUAAGUAUCAUAAAAUACAAGGGACACGUGCUGCCCUCUACUGGUCAAAACUCAUACUUACAGCCAAAGGAAACCGGAGCUGUCUGGGGUGCUGAAACUACAUCUACACCUAGAUAAAUCAAGUAAUUUAUUUAGACCAAGUUGCAGUUACAGACUGUCUACACUAUGAACACAGACUGUGCUCAGUUAUCAUGUAGAUGUUAAAAAUGUACAAACUUGUUCCUCCUCAACCAAAAUGUAAAAGAAUUAACAUGCGAAAUAAAAUCAUUUGUGGAUUUUUUUCUGUUUUUUUUUUUACUUUUUUGCCCCACACUCUUUGUUGCUCUUUUUAGGGCUUGAAGUCAGAGUCAAGGUGAGGGUGACUUCUGGGGGUGGUUAAACUUGAUGUUAAGUGUUUUGUGUUGUGUCUCUUUCUGAAAUCUGAUACCUGAGGCCGUUUCAUCUGAGGUCUGAGUCAUGACUCUGAUACCCGAGGAUAGUGCUGGGCGAUUGGACGAUAUAUAUCGUUGGCACGAUAGAAAAUGUCUAUCGUGCCAUUUUUAUCCUUAUCGUUUCGGGCGAUAGGUUGUAUUUAAUCCAUAGAGCUUGUGCCAUCAGAUGAUUCAUAGUAACAACAACAAUAAUUGCACAUUCAGUAAGUGUAUUUGGUGUCGAACGGGAAAGAAAACAAUAUUUUCUUACAAAGAAAAGGAUGCGUUGACAUGUAGGCUUGCAUUUCUCUUUCGAUUUUGCGACAUGACGCCGCUUUACGUGCCCUCUUUAUGUCCAGCGCCUCCCGCCGUUGCGGGUUACCUGGGUUACACACGUGAGGGGAUCAUUGUAAGCAGUGCUUAAUUUGUGCCGGAGCAAGUCGGAGCGCGAUCCGGGACCUCUUUUGAUCGGAUCUGGGACCUAUUUCAGCCGCUCCGGCACCUGUUUCAUCUGCUCCGGGACCUUCCCUGUGGAGGAUGACUUUUUUCGGGAAUUCCCGUGGGUCACGUGAUUCCCGCGGGAUGGGAGUCAUUUUUUUUAUUAAUCUCUUGAUCGGGACGGGACGGGAAAAAAAGCAACGGGAGUGGGCAGGAGCGGGAACAACAUGAAAAGAUGAUCUUUUUCAGCCGUGUUUAACAACCAGAUGAACAGGUGCGUCCAUUUUUGUAGUCAUCUCUCAGUGAGAGUAAAGACUCUUGACCGCGCUAGCAACACAAAAGAGCUACAACAGCGGUUUGACUUCCUGUCAGCUGGGAGCGCGGCUGCGCAUUUGUACCCUUCAAGCCAGCAGCGAGGAAACGUAAUUUUGUGACAUUCUGUAGUUUUUCAAUCAUUUCUGGAGUCGUGGCGAAUCAAAUCACCUUACCUGUCUGCCCCUGAUAGGCGAAUAAAGCGCUCGGAUUCAUGCUCGGGUCUACCUACGUGCUUCAAGAGUAAAGUAAACAAUGAUGGAGGCAGAGAGCAGCUUUGGAGGAGAAACAUCUAGCAGUGUGAACAACCUCUUCAAAAGAGCCCUAAAGACCUACCUUUUUAAUAAAGCCUUUGGUUAGUUUUCCUCUAUGCUUUAUGCUUUUACUACCUUGCCUCUUACAUUGCAACUCUAUAUAUUUUAUUUUUUUUAAAUUCUUUUUUAUGCUAAUCUGUGACUGUCAUUCUAUUGCUUUUUUUUAUUGAUGCUGCUCUUUUUUUACUGUGUACUGUAGCACUUUGAGAUUUUUUUGUAAAUGUAAAGUGCAUUACAAAUUAAAUUUAUUAUUAUUAUUAUUAUUAUUAUGGAGUGCUUCGGCUCACACUAUCAGCGUUUUCUGUAAGUGUUACAUAACUUUGGGUGAGCACAGACAUGAACGCACUUCAGCCACGUAUUUGUUUAUUCAUUUUUCUAGUUUUAAGUGCUGGUCUUGUACUGGUACUGUACUAGUGCAGCUGUAUACACUUAAAUUUUUCAUAGAACUGAAAGCAUACCAUAGCUAUAUCGUGAUAUAUAUCGUUAUCGUGAUAUAAAAUGAUCCAUAUCGUGAUAUACAUUUUUUUCCAUAUCGCCCAGCACUACCCGAGGAUGUCCCAAAAUGUACCCCGUACUCAGAUCACCCUGUCACGAGAAAAUGUGACAAUAAUUACUGUCAGCUAACUUUUGUUUCAUUUAGUUUUCAAAUGGUUAAACUAUUUCAGAAUUACACAAGCCCUAACUACAGUUUCCCAGGUACAGAGCACAUUUCUAAUCAUUACCACAAAGAGCUAUGACUCAUUUGUCCUCUUAAGUCUGCCUUGCAUGUCAACACAGUUUUUGGAGGUUUUGAUUUGUUUCAAUUCAAGUCAAAUGGCGCCACCCUGUGUCUUAAUAAGAGGUGUCAGAAAAUCCAAUGUUCACCCCAUGAUUGUCAUGGCCAUAAAAAAUCACAAUGAUCACAAUAACUACAACAAAAUUUGAGAUACUGCCUCAGGAACAAUUAUCAUGCUUUUAUUUUGAGUUUUUCCUGUCUUGUGUUAAAGUUUCCCUAUUCCCUGCACUGUCAAACUAUGCUUUUAUUUUGAAGGAUGUAACUUCUGGUAGAUAGUAAGUUACAGAAGAGAAACAAAACUUAAAUUAGGGACAAGAAAGUAUUAAUUUUCAAACUAUUGCUCACUCAUUCUGUAUUGGUUUUUGUUGUAAAGAUUUGGAUCGGUUAAGACAAAGAUUACUUUGUUUUGAGUCGUUCAAACUUGGGAUUGUGGUGUAAAUCCCUGAUUGGGAGUUUUGUAUUUUUCUUCUUAAAUGAUCUCAUGUUGAGUAUAGCAGCCUGAAACCUGGAACGGGAGAUAACAAAACUGUCCAAAUGCUAUGUAAGAUUAAAGACUGAUUUCUUGUUGUAGAUCAAAAAUAGAGAUGAGGAAAGGAAAGCUGAGGAAACCUAACACACACAAAUACAGGAACAGAGAGGGAUAAAAACAAAACAAAAUAGAGGGCAGGUAAUUUAAAUAAAAUCACAAUGCCAAAUCACCACAUGGGAAAUCUCUCUGUGCUGAGAUCAAAUCAAAGAGAGAGCAGCGAUAAAGAGGGACAGAGGCAGACAGACAGAGAAAGACAGAGACAGAGAGAAGGAGAUCAGAGUUGUCAAGGUAGACAAAGAGAAGAAAGAAUAAACAAACUUUUGUUCUUUCACCUUAGCUGUCUGUCUCUCUCCUCCUCAUUACAGAUCCUGACUUUGGAGACCAUGAAAAACACAAAUUUAAAAAGUUGCUGGAAAUAUUAGCACACAUUGUGAAAGGUUUCGCAAUUCUGGAGCAUCAAGUUUAUGAUUAAAAAUUAAACACCGUGACUACUGAUGAAUGGUGAAGUGUUGGUUAAUGUGCAUGAUGGAUGAAGAGCAGAUCAUUAGUAUUAUUUCUUUUAACUUAUGUAUGAGCGUAAUAAAAAUUUUUCAAGCUGCAUGGACAGUGUUAUGUAUCACAAUAGAUCUACUUUCCUUUAUUCUAUGCCCCUCACUGCAAACUCCUUUUCACAGAAUUCAUUAUUCUGUACGAAUGCACAUAAAACCAUAAGUGACACCAACCUCAACAUCAUGCUCCCCCUGCACUGCUAAAAUGAUGGUUCUAUGUCCUGUGAGGAUUGAACUCAUCCAAAGUCUCUGUGUGUGCAUGAGUUAUCUUGUAUAUUUGUGUGUGUUUCAGAAAAAGUUUCUCUGUUUAGUGUGUGUGUGUGUGUCGGUGCCUAUGUGUGCUUACAUCUGUGCUCCUGUUUCCAUUAGGGAUGCAUAAUGUGUUUGAUCUCUGCUCUCUUGGAGGAAAGCUAGGCGUGUGGAGAGGAUAAAAGAUGUGAGGAUCCCCUGCAGUCAGCUCAUACUCUGCUCGAUUUUCACGGACCGCCUCAGCUGCCAAAUCUAUUGAUCAAAUGGAUGUAUCAGCACUGAGUGUGGAAAUACAGGCUUUACACUAUCCGUAUAAGCAACCUUUGGAGGAUCUCUCCUGCUGUGACACUUGACUCUCUGCAUGUUAAAAUGUAUUUUUGGCUCUCUUCCUAGCUCUUUAACAUGUCAACUGUAGCUCUUCAGCAGUAAUUCCUCUUGGAUUUUAAACCCCACUUAGAGCUGUCCGUUAAUUGUCAUUGACUUGUUUAUGCUAUAAGUCGGUUAUGCUAAUUCCUGCCCUUACCUGCUUUAAAUCGUUGCUAAUUGCAGCACUCUGUGUAAAUACAGGAAAAUCCUUAGCCCGGUUAUAACAGGCCUCUUGAGUUUGUUUGUAAUCAGAGCAGCAAACCGACACAGUCCUUGUCCUGUGGCUGACAGACGCAUGCUUGUGAAAAUGGAAAGUGCUGAUUUGAAAUUCCUGAUAAUUGUGUAUGCUGAAUUUGAAUAUUUGGUUGGUAAUGGUGGAGACUGCGAAAACAGACAUUUUUUAACACUGUAUGUUGUGUGAAUAUUCCGUGGUCACCAAAUUGGAUUCAUGGGUGUAUUUUUUAGUAAAGCACAUAAUGAUACUGUGUAAAAACAAGCCAGUGCCGCAAAAAAGACAGAGACAAGAAAAUUCAGUCUCACAUUCUUGUGAAAUGGUAAGCCUGAAAGACUUUUUCUCUUAGUUUUUGCAUGUUUGAAUAAAUUUAAGACAAAAAAGUAAAAAACGAAGUAGUUGUGAUUCUGCUCUGGACUUUCCAGCAACUUGUGCCUUGGAGUUUGCAGCUUAAGUAUACUGCAAUCUAUUUCUUUUUUAAAUCAUCAAGAAAAGAGAUUGCAUCGAGGCAUGAUUUGGCUAUUCAAGUUGAAAUCAUUGUUGUGACUAAAUAUAGCCUGUGUGUUGGUUUUACGUUAUAAUAGUGCCCUGAACCCCCAUCUGCACACCUUUGAAAACACGCUUUGUGUUGUGCCGUGGAAAGCCAAAUGUCAGUGUGUUCUUGAUUAGAUUAAUAAAAAAUUCAAGAUUUAGGUUUGAAAUACAUUUUGAAGAAACAAAAAAGGAAACCUUUAAAAAAAAUCAUAUAUUCGUUUCAAAAAGGUCACUACUUUUGACUUACAGCAGAACUUUUGAACAAGUUUAAUUAAAGUUUGUUGUGAUACUGCCAAGCAUCAAAUGGACUAUCACAGCUGAGCUUCGGAAAGAAAUAAAGCCUCCACUGACAAAAAUCAGAAGUGUGAAACUGAGGAAAUGACUUUACAGGAUUUAUUCUCUAUUCUUGGUUCUGCUCUUUCAACCUCAAAGCACAGGCUAUCUUAAAAUACAAUGAUUUGUAGACUGAGACUACAGAGGAGAUAGUUUUUCCUUAAUCCUCCUUUGUCCUGACACACUUAUCACCAAGCCUGGCAAAAUGUGGUCCUGACCCAAGGGUAGACUGAAAUUUGAAAACGGAUUGUAGAAACUUUAUAACAUUUUUGGAAAAUAUCAAUAGAAAACAAAUAAAAGAACUUAAAUAAACAAUAUAUAAUUUUUAAUGAAAGUUUGCAGAAACUUCCAUUUUUUUUAAAUGAAGUUUUUAAAAAGCUUUGAGAAUUAUGCUUUUUUUGAGUAUUUCUUAAUUCAAACUGUUGUUAAUCUCUGGCAGACUCAAACGGAAGGGUCAGAAACUGUGAGAUUUCAUAUGUAACCAAUCCAAGCUCCGCCCCCGGAGCCCCGCUAUGCAGGCCACACUCUGCAUAUAGAGGAGAAAUACAGAAGACGAAAUAAGUGUGUACGUUAGCGUAUUGCAAUGCUGGUAAGAAAGCUUAUUAUGAUAUCAACUUUCAUCGUGUCCCUAAAGACAUUAGUGUCCAAGAGCUGAAUAGCUCCUGGAGCUAUGAGUGACCGGAGCUCUGCAGAAGAAAGGCCCUUGAAAGUGACACAGGUAACGCGAUUUUUAGUAAAAACUUCAUAAUAACAAUUUAAAGACCACUGAGAACACUUUAGGUAGUAAAAAAAUGAUCAGAGAGGGACUUUAAAUAGGCCACCAAUUUUGCAAAGAUACUAUGUUUGUCAUGUGAUUGUGAGCCUGACACAUGUCAAGUGUGAAAUCACUGCAGCUUGAAUUGCCUGCCUGAACUAGUUCACAGGCUCUGCUCUAUUGGUUGUAUAAAUGAAUAUAGAGAAACAGCAGGGGAACGAUAUUAGAGCUGAGUACCAUUAGAUACCCAUUAGAUAAAGCAGACCUGGAGGAAAUGAGAGGGGGCUAAGUUUUCUUUUAAACACUCACAAGACUAGACAGUUUCCUCAGAGGGAGACGCUCUGUUUAUCCAUCAGAAUGUUGAGUCCCCAUCAGAGCUUCUAUCCUCCAGGCACUCUCAAGUGUCAAUAAAACCUCUUUUCUUGAUUUGAUGAAAUUUGUCACUGUCCUACAGAGUUCAAGACUCGGGAAAACAGUAAUCCAUCACUG